rnacentral:rRNA from 1 species
UAUUGCGCAAUGGGCGAAAGCCUGACGCAGCGACGCCGCGUGGGGGAUGAAGGUCUUCGGAUUGUAAACCCCUUUCGGGAGGGAAGAUGGAAUGGGGUAACCCAUUCGGACGGUACCUCCAGAAGCAGCCACGGCUAACUUCGUGCCAGCAGCCGCGGUAAUACGAAGGUGGCAAGCGUUAUUCGGAUUUACUGGGCGUACAGGGAGCGUAGGCGGUUUGGUAAGCCCUCUGUGAAAUCUCCAGGCUUAACCUGGAAAAGUCGGAGGGGACUGCUGGGCUAGAGGACGGGAGAGGAGCGCGGAAUUCCCGGUGUAGCGGUGAAAUGCGUAGAGAUCGGGAGGAAGGCCGGUGGCGAAGGCGGCGCUCUGGAACGUUCUGACGCGAGGCCGA